GGCGUAAGGGCUCGCAGGCGGUUUCUUAAGUCUGAUGUGAAAGCCCCCGGCUCAACCGGGGAGGGUCAUUGGAAACUGGGAAACUUGAGUGCAGAAGAGGAGAGUGGAAUUCCACGUGUAGCGGUGAAAUGCGUAGAGAUGUGGAGGAACACCAGUGGCGAAGGCGACUCUCUGGUCUGUAACUGACGCUGAGGAGCGAAAGCGUGGGGAGCGAACAGGAUUAGAUACCCUGGUAGUCCACGCCGUAAACGAUGAGUGCUAAGUGUUAGGGGGUUUCCGCCCCUUAGUGCUGCAGCUAACGCAUUAAGCACUCCGCCUGGGGAGUACGGUCGCAAGACUGAAACUCAAAGGAAUUGACGGGGGCCCGCACAAGCGGUGGAGCAUGUGGUUUAAUUCGAAGCAACGCGAAGAACCUUACCAGGUCUUGACAUCCUCUGACAACCCUAGAGAUAGGGCUUUCCCUUCGGGGACAGAGUGACAGGUGGUGCAUGGUUGUCGUCAGCUCGUGUCGUGAGAUGUUGGGUUAAGUCCCGCAACGAGCGCAACCCUUGAUCUUAGUUGCCAGCAUUCAGUUGGGCACUCUAAGGUGACUGCCGGUGACAAACCGGAGGAAGGUGGGGAUGACGUCAAAUCAUCAUGCCCCUUAUGACCUGGGCUACACACGUGCUACAAUGGACAGAACAAAGGGCUGCAAGACCGCAAGGUUUAGCCAAUCCCAUAAAUCUGUUCUCAGUUCGGAUCGCAGUCUGCAACUCG
rnacentral:rRNA from 1 species